GUCUUUGUGGUGUAGUGGUCAGCACGCUGGGCGCGUAUUCCGGAGGUCCGUGGUUCGAGUCCCGACGAAGGCG
rnacentral:tRNA from 1 species